UACGGGGGGGGCAAGCGUUGUUCGGAAUUAUUGGGCGUAAAGAGCUCGUAGGCGGUUUGUUGCGUCGGCCGUGAAAACCUGCAGCUUAACUGUGGGCCUGCGGCCGAUACGGGCAGACUUGAGUUCGGUAGGGGUGACUGGAAUUCCUGGUGUAGCGGUGAAAUGCGCAGAUAUCAGGAGGAACACCGGUGGCGAAGGCGGGUCUCUGGGCCGAUACUGACGCUGAGGAGCGAAAGCGUGGGGAGCGAACAGG
rnacentral:rRNA from 1 species